GACAGAGGUGCCGAGCGUUAGGCGGAAUCACUGGGCUUAAAGCGUGUGUAGGCGGGUGCCUAAGUACCUUGUGAAAUCCCACGGCUCAACCGUGGAACUGCUUGGUAUACUGGGUGCCUUGAGCCACUUAGGGGCAACCGGAACAAACGGUGGAGCGGUGAAAUGCGUAGAUAUCGAGAGGAACACCUGCGGCGAAGGCGGGUUGCUGGGCUGACACUGACGCUAAGGCGCGAAAGCUAGGGGAGCGAACGGG
rnacentral:rRNA from 1 species